UACGUAGGGUGCAAGCGUUAAUCGGAAUUACUGGGCGUAAAGCGUGCGCAGGCGGUUUUGUAAGUCUGACGUGAAAUCCCCGGGCUCAACCUGGGAAUUGCGUUGGAGACUGAAGGCUAGAAUCUGGCAGAGGGGGGUAGAAUUCCACGUGUAGCAGUGAAAUGCGUAGAGAUGUGGAGGAACACCGAUGGCGAAGGCAGCCCCCUGGGUCAAGAUUGACGCUCAUGCACGAAAGCGUGGGGAGCAAACAGG
rnacentral:rRNA from 1 species